AGGGACGGUCGGGGCCGCCCGUACCGGGUCGUGAGAGGUGAAAUUCUAGGAUCGACCCGAGACGAACCGCCGCGAAAGCAUUCGGCAAGGACGCUUUCAUUAAUCAAGAACGAAAGUCGGGGGAUCGAAGACGAUCAGAUACCGUCGUAGUCCCGACCGUAAACGAUGCCGACCGAGGGCCCGGAGGAGUUACGUACGACCCUCCGGGCCCUCCCGCGAGAAAUCAGGAGUAUUCGGGUUCCGGGGGGAGUAUGGUCGCAAGGCCGAAACUUAAAGGAAUUGACGGAAGGGCACCACCAGGAGUGGAAUCUGCGGCUUAAUUUGACACAACGCGGGAAAACUCACCAGGUCAGGACACGGUAAGGAUUGACGGACUGAAGGCUCUUUCUCGAUUCCGUGGAAAGUGGUGCAUGGCCGUUUUGGUUGGUGGAUCGAUCCGUCUGGUUAAUUCCGUUAACGAACGAG
rnacentral:rRNA from 1 species